GUCCCCUUAGUUUAACGGAUAGAACUACUGUUUCCUAAAUAGUCGAUCUGGGUUCGAUUCCCAGAGGGGGCACCA
rnacentral:tRNA from 1 species